UACGGAGGGGGCUAGCGUUGUUCGGAAUUACUGGGCGUAAAGGGCGCGUAGGCGGCUGUGCACGUCCGGUGUGAAAGCCCUGGGCUCAACCCAGGAUGUGCGCUUGAUACUGCGCGGCUAGAGUGUCGGAGAGGAUGGUGGAAUUCCCAGUGUAGAGGUGAAAUUCGUAGAUAUUGGGAAGAACACCGGUGGCGAAGGCGGCUCUCUGGACCGGUACUGACGCUGAGACGCGAAAGCGUGGGGAGCGAACAGG
rnacentral:rRNA from 1 species